AAGCAAUAAUAUUUUCUGUAACAUUUAAAUUCUAGAAUGUGUAUGUGAUCCUUUUGUUUGUGAAAUGUUUGUUACCUUUUGGGUGUGUCCUUGUAGCGGCCAUCUUGGAACCUACCAAAGAGGAGGCCCGCCUCAAACCCAGCUCUUUUAUAGAAAGGCCCAUGUUUGCCGGACUUUGAUUGGCUGGGCAGUUAAUUGAGAAGCCAACUUUGAGGAGUUUUUUCUUCCACACCACACCUCUCAGUGUAACAGUGGUGUCAGAAGUGGGAUGGUUUACGCCUGUGAAUGAAGGAAGACGACAGGCUAAAUGAGAGGAGUAGGACGUG